rnacentral:rRNA from 1 species
UACGUAGGGUGCGAGCGUUGUCCGGAAUUAUUGGGCGUAAAGGGCUCGUAGGCGGUUUGUCGCGUCGGGAGUGAAAUCCACUGGCUUAACUGGUGGCUUGCUUUCGAUACGGGCAGACUGGAGGUAUGCAGGGGAGAACGGAAUUCCUGGUGUAGCGGUGAAAUGCGCAGAUAUCAGGAGGAACACCGGUGGCGAAGGCGGUUCUCUGGGCAUUGUCCUGACGCUGAGGAGCGAAAGUGUGGGGAGCGAACAGG